GUAGUCUUAGCUAUAAACGAUGUUCACUAGGUGUCGGGGGAUUCCUUCGGUGCCGCAGCUAACGCAUUAAGUGAACCGCCUGGGGACUACGGCCGCAAGGUUGAAACUCAAAGGAAUUGGCGGGGGCCCGCACAAGCGGUGGAGCAUAUGGCUUAAUUCGAUGCAACGCGAAGAACCUUACCAGGGCUUGACAUGGAGCUGCAAGGUGGAGAAAUUCACCCGCUCUCGAAGGUGCUUCACAGGUGGUGCAUGGCUGUCGUCAGCUCGUGUUGUGAAAUGUUGGGUUAAGUCCCGCAACGAGCGCAACCCUCACGUUCUGUUACCAGCGAGUAAAGUCGGGGACUCGGAACGAACUGCCUCUGUAAAGAGGA
rnacentral:rRNA from 1 species